rnacentral:lncRNA from 1 species
AGCAGAGGGCUCUUCUGCAGAAAGUGAUCCCAGGAUAGGGGGCUGCCAUGGGAGUCAGGGAUUUGCACCCCAAAUUUCAGGUGGUAUCUGAGCUCUGUGUGUCCUUCCUACCCACCUCUCAGGGCCCAGCAGCUCACCUGGACCACGGAAAGCACAGAAAGAACUGGCUGAAUGAAUCAAGAGAUCAAGUGUUCUCCCUGAGGCCCUGUAACAGCUCUGCAGCUGACUGCCCAGAAGGAAGCAGAAGUGAGUGACAAGUUGGGGGAACCAGAGCUUGCACACCAUAGGCCUGAACACUAGCCUCUGGGGAAAGGCAAGUCCAGCUGACCUUGGUGAAGUUAGGACCCGGGCCGAGGCCACCUCUUCUGGUUCACCCUCUGCUGGCCUCCCAGCUUCUUUGGCUCAGCAACACCCAGGAUUCCAGGCAUGUUUGCCUCUGGCCUUCUAAAAAUACCCAGGCCACCCAGCACCUCCCAGAUGUCUGAGCGCUGAGUCUGUGAUUUCCCUGCCGGUAAUGGGACAGCCCCGGGGUGGGCAGGCGGGGGUGGCUCGAGCAGCUCAAGCCACUUCCUCUGCCUCCCAUCCCCUAGCCUACCAGAAGCUGGACCCAGCCCUGCCUCCCAAUCCUUGCAAGGCAAAGGAGGGUAGAGGCUAGCAGACCUCAGAGAUUGUUGACUCCAGUCUCUUCUUGGGACAGAUGGGAGAUCUGAAGUCUAAGGAUUGCUCAUGGCACUUGUGCCAUUAAGGUCCUCCUCACCCCACUCCCCAGCACUGUGUUCAUGCCUGCUGCUGUCUCACUUCCCACAUGCUACUUGGAGUCUAGGUCUUGGAGCCCAACCUGACUUCCUCCAUGCAGCUGAAAGCUCCUGACAGCAGUGAAGGGGAGGAUCCCUGUGGUCUCCAUGGUGCCUGGAAGAGUGUCCAAUCCAGAGCACACCAUCAGUAAACGUAGAUUGGAUUGAA